AGGAGCAAAGAUACUUUGGAAUUUACAGGUCACAUGCUACCUUGGCAGAUUAAAAAAAAAAUCUGGAUAUGUUCAUGAAAGUAGCACUGAUGGGCUGGGAUCUAGAGCUCAGUAAAUGCUUGACUAGCAAAUGCAACAUCCUGGGUCUGUUUCCCAUAACCAACAAAGAAAAGACAAAAAGUUAAACCCAAGCAAACAAGUGGAACUGACUGACAUGUGUGGCCAUCCUCUAUGAUAAUACUAAAGGAUUUGGGGGAAUGGAGCACUAGAACUCAGUCUAGCUUAUAACGAUCAACCAACAAUGGAAGCCUGUUGAAGAGCUGCAGAAGGUCAGAAGGGCAACCAGAUGACCAGUCCUCUCUUCUUUCCUCCAAAGAUUACUCUAUGAAUCUAGUGGAAACAUUUCUGCACAAACUAUAUUGUGGAGACCAGUGUGCGGAAAUGCUUCUGCUACAUUUUUAGGGUUUGCCUACGUUUUUUGGGGGGGUACUCUGGAUAAAGGAAUUAAAGGUAGUGCCGUAAUAACUACAUAGUCCAAAAGUUUCUGUUUAUUGUUGUAACUCUGAAUUUUAUAUGAAGAAAACCUACCUUUAUGAAUGUGCUCCUUGACAUGUAUAAAGAUUUGUAAAUUAGUAAUAAAAUUUCGCUUGUGUAAGAUA